rnacentral:rRNA from 1 species
GUCGAGAAUCUUUCACAAUGGGGGCAACCCUGAUGGAGCGACGCCGCGUGGAGGAUAAGGUCUUCGGAUUGUAAAAUCCUGUCAUGCGUGAACAAGGUUGCUUGGUCAAUACCUGGGCAAAUUGAUGGUAACGCAAGAGGAAGAGACGGCUAACUCUGUGCCAGCAGCCGCGGUAAUACAGAGGUCUCAAGCGUUGUUCGGAAUCACUGGGCGUAAAGGGGGCGUAGGUGGCGUGGUAAGUCAGAUGUGAAAGGCCGGGGCUCAACCUCGGAACUGCAUCCGAUACUGCCAUGCUAGAGUACUGGAGAGGUGACUAGAAUUCUCGGUGUAGCAGUGAAAUGCGUAGAUAUCGAGAGGAAUACCAAAGGCGUAGGCAGGUCACUGGACAGUUACUGACACUGAGGCACGAAGGCCAGGGGAGCGAACGGGAUUAGAAACCCUGGUAGUCC